AGGACUUUAUAUCUUCAGUUACCUGCAAUGCAUUCAUACCUGCAGCUAUUGGCCACUCUGAUAAAACUGGAUUAUUACGUGUUAAUUUCCGCACCAAACAGGGACCGGCCCAGGACGUUAAACCUGAGGGAUGAUGCAUUAAUGGAAGGGGACUGUGCAGAAGAAUUGCUUCAACUUUCCAGAAACACAGUGGAAGAAUAUUUUGUGGCACCACCAGGGAAUAUUCCUUUACCAAAGAGGGAGGAGAGGGCCACCAUGCUCAAACACUCAGAGUUAUGAUAUUUAGGAAUUUAUUCUUCAUAUUUAUUCCC